AAGUCGUAACAAGGUUUCCGUAGGUGAACCUGCGGAAGGAUCAUUACCGAGUGUAGGGUUCCUAGCGAGCCCAACCUCCCACCCGUGUUUACUGUACCUUAGUUGCUUCGGCGGGCCCGCCAUUCAUGGCCGCCGGGGGCUCUCAGCCCCGGGCCCGCGCCCGCCGGAGACACCACGAACUCUGUCUGAUCUAGUGAAGUCUGAGUUGAUUGUAUCGCAAUCAGUUAAAACUUUCAACAAUGGAUCUCUUGGUUCCGGCAUCGAUGAAGAACGCAGCGAAAUGCGAUAACUAGUGUGAAUUGCAGAAUUCCGUGAAUCAUCGAGUCUUUGAACGCACAUUGCGCCCCCUGGUAUUCCGGGGGGCAUGCCUGUCCGAGCGUCAUUGCUGCCCAUCAAGCACGGCUUGUGUGUUGGGUCGUCGUCCCCUCUCCGGGGGGGACGGGCCCCAAAGGCAGCGGCGGCACCGCGUCCGAUCCUCGAGCGUAUGGGGCUUUGUCACCCGCUCUGUAGGCCCGGCCGGCGCUUGCCGAACGCAAAUCAAUCUUUUUCCAGGUUGACCUCGGAUCAGGUAGGGAUACCCGCUGAACUUAAGCAUAUC
rnacentral:rRNA from 1 species